CAGGCGAUGUUUACGUUGUCUCAGGCCGUUGUAAAUAAAUAAAAACACGCGAUUUCCCCCGAAUAUAUACGGUAAUUAGUGCCUUAAUUUCCCGACGCGGCUUUUCCAGUGUGGUUUCGCCCGGAAGUAAGCCAGCGAGGAGCGCCAGCUGUGAGGAUCCCAAGCCGAACUGAGCCCAGAUUACUUCAGAACGCGGAAUAUACAGAUGUAGAACAACGUGCUCAAAAACGAAGCUACUGGAUAAGGUGUUGCAUCAAGAUCUACCCAUCGCCCAAAUUUGUCAAGAUUUCGCAGGUAAACCUACUUUUCACAGCAUGUAACAUUCUUUAGGUUCU